ensembl:misc_RNA
UUGACAGCUUUGGAAACUGAAGGACUCUAAUUAUCCACAGACCAGGUACACUAUGGCCAGUGGCAGUACAGAUCAUUUCAUACUGCCCUGCCAAUGUGCCUCAGAUACAUUUCUUAAAACCUCAUGGAGUAUAAAGUUUUAAGGCAGCACCAAAUCUGUUUCCUUUGUUUUUCUUCCUCCCUUUUGU